rnacentral:rRNA from 1 species
CUGAUGUUAGCGGCGGACGGGUGAGUAACACGUGGGUAACCUGCCUGUAAGACUGGGAUAACUCCGGGAAACCGGGGCUAAUACCGGAUGGUUGUUUGAACCGCAUGGUUCAGACAUAAAAGGUGGCUUCGGCUACCACUUACAGAUGGACCCGCGGCGCAUUAGCUAGUUGGUGAGGUAACGGCUCACCAAGGCGACGAUGCGUAGCCGACCUGAGAGGGUGAUCGGCCACACUGGGACUGAGACACGGCCCAGACUCCUACGGGAGGCAGCAGUAGGGAAUCUUCCGCAAUGGACGAAAGUCUGACGGAGCAACGCCGCGUGAGUGAUGAAGGUUUUCGGAUCGUAAAGCUCUGUUGUUAGGGAAGAACAAGUGCCGUUCAAAUAGGGCGGCACCUUGACGGUACCUAACCAGAAAGCCACGGCUAACUACGUGCCAGCAGCCGCGGUAAUACGUAGGUGGCAAGCGUUGUCCGGAAUUAUUGGGCGUAAAGGGCUCGCAGGCGGUUUCUUAAGUCUGAUGUGAAAGCCCCCGGCUCAACCGGGGAGGGUCAUUGGAAACUGGGGAACUUGAGUGCAGAAGAGGAGAGUGGAAUUCCACGUGUAGCGGUGAAAUGCGUAGAGAUGUGGAGGAACACCAGUGGCGAAGGCGACUCUCUGGUCUGUAACUGACGCUGAGGAGCGAAAGCGUGGGGAGCGAACAGGAUUAGAUACCCUGGUAGUCCACGCCGUAAACGAUGAGUGCUAAGUGUUAGGGGGUUUCCGCCCCUUAGUGCUGCAGCUAACGCAUUAAGCACUCCGCCUGGGGAGUACGGUCGCAAGACUGAAACUCAAAGGAAUUGACGGGGGCCCGCACAAGCGGUGGAGCAUGUGGUUUAAUUCGAAGCAACGCGAAGAACCUUACCAGGUCUUGACAUCCUCUGACAAUCCUAGAGAUAGGACGUCCCCUUCGGGGGCAGAGUGACAGGUGGUGCAUGGUUGUCGUCAGCUCGUGUCGUGAGAUGUUGGGUUAAGUCCCGCAACGAGCGCAACCCUUGAUCUUAGUUGCCAGCAUUCAGUUGGGCACUCUAAGGUGACUGCCGGUGACAAACCGGAGGAAGGUGGGGAUGACGUCAAAUCAUCAUGCCCCUUAUGACCUGGGCUACACACGUGCUACAAUGGACAGAACAAAGGGCAGCGAAACCGCGAGGUUAAGCCAAUCCCACAAAUCUGUUCUCAGUUCGGAUCGCAGUCUGCAACUCGACUGCGUGAAGCUGGAAUCGCUAGUAAUCGCGGAUCAGCAUGCCG